rnacentral:rRNA from 1 species
AUGGCUGGGACUGGGAGAUGGUCGUCGGUUCUGGUGGCGAUGCCGACGGUCGUCGAGAGGUUCGUGGACUGGACGGUGUCGUGGCUGCCGAUGUACGGAGAGGCCAAGCUGCUGCUCAUCAUCUACCUCUGGCACCCCAACACACGGGGUGCGGGUCACAUCUAUGAUGGCUUCCUCCAUCCGCUGGUGCCGUGGCACGAGGCCUACAUCGACCGGGGCCUGCUUGAGCUGAGGGCUAGGGCGAGGGACGUGACAGCGUCACAACUCAAGGUGGUGGCUGCCAUCGGUCAAGUGUGGCUCGUCGAGACUGCCCGCUGUGUUUCGUCGCAGUUGCAGGUUGCGAGAUCAGGCUGGGAAGGCGCCACGCAUUGGCGAGUGAGCGAAUUUUUGGAUCGGACCAUAACAACGUGUCUCAGUCUCUGA